CGGAUGAAGACGAUGAGGAGGACUCAGAGGAGGAGAAAGGGAAGACAUGGGAGGAGCUGGAGAGGGAGGCAACUAAUGCUGACAGGGAGAAGGAUGAUGAGUCUGAUAGCGAAGAAGAUAGGAAGAGAAGGAAGGUAAAGACCUUUGGGAAGUCACGGGCUCCAGACCCCAGGAGAAGCGCUCCUGCCAAGAGGCCAAGGAUGAGGUAGACGUCUAAAUUCCUUGCUUAGGCUUUGGUAAUCAACAUCAUGUCCAGACCUGGGUGAAGCAUCUUAUUAGCUAUCUAGUUUCGUG
rnacentral:misc_RNA from 1 species